rnacentral:rRNA from 1 species
GAGUUUGAUCCUGGGUCAGAUUGAACGCUGGCGGCAUGCCUUACACAUGCAAGUCGAACGGUAACGCGGGGCAACCUGGUGACGAGUGGCGAACGGGUGAGUAAUGCAUCGGAACGUGCCCAGUAGUGGGGGAUAGCCCGGCGAAAGCCGGAUUAAUACCGCAUACGACCUGAGGGUGAAAGGGGGGGAUCGCAAGACCUCUCGCUAUUGGAGCGGCCGAUGUCAGAUUAGGUAGUUGGUGGGGUAAAGGCCUACCAAGCCUACGAUCUGUAGCUGGUCUGAGAGGACGACCAGCCACACUGGGACUGAGACACGGCCCAGACUCCUACGGGAGGCAGCAGUGGGGAAUUUUGGACAAUGGGCGCAAGCCUGAUCCAGCAAUGCCGCGUGCGGGAAGAAGGCCUUCGGGUUGUAAACCGCUUUUGUCAGGGAAGAAAUCUUCUGGGUUAAUACCUCGGGAGGAUGACGGUACCGUAAGAAUAAGCACCGGCUAACUACGUGCCAGCAGCCGCGGUAAUACGUAGGGUGCAAGCGUUAAUCGGAAUUACUGGGCGUAAAGCGUGCGCAGGCGGUUUUGUAAGACAGAGGUGAAAUCCCCGGGCUCAACCUGGGAACUGCCUUUGUGACUGCAAAGCUUGAGUGCGGCAGAGGG